CGGAUUUUAGAACAGGAAAGGAGGUUUCCGCCCCGGGCGCCGGAAGUGAGGCAAGCGGGAGGAGCCGGCGGCUCCUCGGCGCCCGGGACCGGCCUGGCCGGGAGUAGAGGUUCGGCGGCCUGGGAGACAGGGAAGACGCGGCCCAGCCGGCGGGCAGCGGGGUGUGCGGGCGAGCUGGCAAGUGGGACGGGGGCGUCCACACAGGCCGGGGGCUAUGGCGGUCGGGGGAGUGCGUGGUCCGUGGGCCUUGGACCACCGAGAUGUGGAAGCCCCAGUAAGGCACUCGGCGGCUCCGAGCCCCCGCUUCCUUUUCUGUAAAGUGGGAUGUGACUCAUCUCACAUGAGUUAUUAAUAUCACCGUUUGCUCGUUACCCGACGCAGAAUCACCCGCAGUCCCACGAGGUAGCGCUCUGUACACUGUACAAACGAGGAAGCGUGGCUCCGAGAGGCGAGUGGACUCCCAAGUGAUGCUUUUGCCAGAGGAGUGGGUUUCGUGGACCUUGAGCUCGAGGUUGGGGUUUGAAAUCUGCCCCUGCCACGUAACGAUGGCGAGGCGGAGGGCAGGUCGCUCCCGGCCUUGGUGUUUCCAUUAGGGAAGUGACACUAACGAUACCAUCUUCUAGAGCUGCAGUCACGGUUAAAUUCGAUCAGCGGUUCCCAAACUCUUAGUCUCAAGACCACCUUAUUCUCUUUAAAAAUGAGAGCCUCGGGGCGCCUGAGUGGCUCAGUCGGUUAAGCGUCCGACUUCAGCUCGGGUCACGAUCUCGCGGUCUGUGAGUUCGAGCCCCGCGUCGGGCUCUGGGCUGAUGGCUCAGAGCCUGGAGCCUGCUUCCGAUUCUGUGUCUCCCUCUCUCUCUGCCCCUCCCGCGUUCAUGCUCUGUCUCUCUCUGUCCCAAAAAUAAAUUAAAAAAAAAAAAAAAGUUGAAAAAAAAAUUAAAAAAAAAGAGAGCCUCAAAAAGUUUGCUAGUGUGGGUUAUAUCUAUCAAUGUUCACCGUAUUAUAAAUGUGAAAUUUAGAAGAAUACUUUUUGUCUUAAAAAUAAACAUUAUAUUCUUAAAAACCUGUAUCUCCCAAAAGUACAGAGAAGAGUGGGAAUUGUUUUACAUUUUUUUAAAUCUCCUUAAAGUUUUAAAGACUCAUAGAACAUAGCUGGAUUCUCACAUCUGCUUCUGCAUGCACUGUUGCAAUAUACCGCUUUGAAGUAUAUGAGGAAAAUCCAGCCUCAGAUACAUGGUCCAACAAGGAAAGAGCUACAAACCAACCUCCGAACAGCUUAGAGCACCACCAGACACCUGGCAAGGCCUUGGAAACUGAUGAGAUGAAGCCGAUGCACUGGUGGACCAUGCCCACCCCAACCCCAACUUGGUACACCACUGGCUACAGGGAAAGAGAGAGGUGCUUUGAAAGAAUGACGGUGGAGUAACAACGUGCAGAAGAGUGGACCCAUCUGCAGUGGUUGGAGGAAAAGAAGAAAAGGCUAGAAAAGACACUAGCAUUGGGAGAAGUACCUCUUCCUCUAUUCAGCCCAUGUGGUCUGACUUUUUGUUUUUUUUACCGUCGAGAGGCCAAGCGCCAGCGCACACAAGUGGGGGAGGGGCGGGGAGAGGAGGUGGCUGGAGGAAACACAGAAUCUGAAGCAGGCUCCAGGCUCUGAGCUGUCAGCACAGAGCCCGACACGGGGCUCCAGUUUACAGACUGUGAGAUCAUGGCCUGAGGUGAAGUCGGUCGCUUAACCCACUGAGCCACCCAGACGCUCCUCAUUCGGUCUGACUUAAAUUAACAUAAUCCCUAAUCUCGAGGCCUUCUAGUGACCUCAGCCUGUGCACAAUCAAGAACUAUCUUCUCAAGGAAUCACAUCAACCCAGGGAUUGGUUCGGGGGAUGCAGAGACGAUCCAGGUUCAUGCAAUGAAGCUCACUCAUGUGGCUUGUGUGGGAGUGAUCGCGGGGAGAGUCACCCUCAGCUGGGUGGCAAAGAGGCCAGGAGGUCAGCAUGUGCUGCCAGCAGCGAUCCAGGCACCUCUGAUGACAGCAAAAGGAAACGGCUGGGCAGUAGCGAGGAUGGAAACACCUGGUGAGCCGAAGGGUCGUGUGCUUCUUGGUUGCUCUGAAGUUUCUGAGUAGUGAACUCCACCUUUUGCUAAAAUAAUUUGAGUUGUGCUCCUUUCACUCAUAACCUGAAGAGCUCAAGCUAAUAAGAGGGAGCACUGGGAUGGACCAGUCACCUCAGGCAGUGUCGAAGUGAAGCAGAGCCCAGAGGGCCAUUGUUAGCAGGGAUUCCUGCAUGAGGACAGCGUGACUAGGAGCUUCCUACUCCAUUUGGUCCCAGCUGUACUCCCACCAUGUCCGUGCCUUCUCCUUUUGUGUUUAAAAAGGAAAAGAGAUGGGGCACCUGGGUGGCUCGGUCGGUUAAGCGUCUGACUCUUGGUUUUAGCUCAGAUCAUAUCGUGGUUUGGGAGGUGGAGCCCCGCAUCGGGUUCUGUGCUGACAGCUCAGAGCCUGGAGCCUGCUCCGGAUUCUGUGUUUCCCUCUCUCUCUCUGCCCCUCCCCCACUCGUGCCAUGUCUCUCUUAAAAAAUAAACAUUAAAAAAAGUUUUUUAAAGAAAUAAAAAACAUUUUAAAAAAUGAUAAAUUUAAGGAGAAAGAAAAACACCAGACUCUAACUGAGGGACAUCCCACAGAGUAUCAGACCAGGAUUCCUCAAGCCAUCUGAGACAUGGGAGACAGACACACCAGAGGAGCCUAAGGAGAUGACACCCCUAAAUGCGAUGUGAGAUCCAAAAAGGAUGCUGGUGGGAAAAUAUUUGGAAUUCAGUUAGUAGUAAUGAACGAAUGUUAAUUCCUUCCUCCUGGGAAACAAACCAUAGUUAAGUGUGUUAAGCGGGGGGUGCAUGUGGGAAGUCAGUAAAAUCUCACAAUGUUUGUGUAAAUCCAAAAGAAUUCAUUUUUCAGCUUCUUUCAGGAUUAUAUAAUUAUGUAUUUUAAAAUGUAAAUCAAGUUGGCAAAAUAAAAGCAGUCUUCACAGCA